rnacentral:tRNA from 1 species
GGCCGUGUGGCGUAAUGGCAACGCGUCUGACUACGAACAGUGAAUCAGGAGAUUGCAGGUUCGACCCCUGUCUCGGUCA